CCUACGGGAGGCAGCAGUGGGGAAUAUUGGACAAUGGGCGCAAGCCUGAUCCAGCCAUACCGCGUGUGUGAAGAAGGCCUUUUGGUUGUAAAGCACUUUAAGCGAGGAGGAGGCUCUUGAGGAUAAUACCCUUGAUGAGUGGACGUUACUCGCAGAAUAAGCACCGGCUAACUCUGUGCCAGCAGCCGCGGUAAUACAGAGGGUGCGAGCGUUAAUCGGAAUUACUGGGCGUAAAGCGCGCGUAGGCGGCUUGUUAAGUCGGAUGUGAAAUCCCCGGGCUCAACCUGGGCACUGCAUUCGAUACUGGCAAGCUAGAGUAUGGGAGAGGAAGGUAGAAUUCCAGGUGUAGCGGUGAAAUGCGUAGAGAUCUGGAGGAAUACCGAUGGCGAAGGCAGCCUUCUGGCCUAAUACUGACGCUGAGGUGCGAAAGCAUGGGGANCAAACAGGAUUAGAUACCCUGGUAGUCCAUGCCGUAAACGAUGUCAACUAGCCGUUGGGGACCGUUGAGCUUUAGUGGCGCNGCACGCGAGAGUAGUACGCCGCGGAGGUACGGUACGCGAGACGAACGUAACGAAGAAGUAGAGGCGNGAGAGNGCGACGGACGACGACGAGGGAGGAGG
rnacentral:rRNA from 1 species